GGCCGGAUGGUCUAGUGGUAUGAUUCUCGCUUUGGGUUCGUUCCUGAUCUGCGAGAGGCCCCGGGUUCAAAUCCCGGUUCGGCCC